UUGGAUCGAGGUUUUGAUCUUGUUUUGAAAUGGUUAUCGAAUGUUCAUUUUAAUUCUCGUAUUAACAGAUGAAUAAAGAAUGAAAGAAUAAAUAUUAUACAUUUCAUGGGAGAGGGAUACAUUUGUUAUGAAUGGGGGUUGUUCAUGGCAAACAAACAAUAUAAAUAUAUGCCUCAUACACCAUACAAGUAGGCCACAGUUAAUCAAACAAGUAAGGUAUAAACAAAUAUAUAAUCGAAUCAAAUAAUCAAAGAAUGAAAUAAUAAAGCAUUAAACAACGUAUGAGUGUAAGUGUAAGGGAAUCGGCUCAUUGUAAGAAAGCCCAAGAGUAAGCUAUGUGAGGUUGAUGGCGAUGCUUAAAAAGCAAUCGACUUACAAGGGUGUAAAAAAAUGGUCUCGAUAUUAAAUCGAGAAAGUAUGAUUUUUAUAGUUUAAAAAAAUGGUUUUGAACUAAAUUAAAAUACUACAACUAUGCAUUAUUAACAAAUGAAAUUAUAAUAAACAUAAAAAAACGAAAAUGUUAAUAAAAUACUACACUAAAAAAAUGCUAAAAGAGGAUAAAAUAAAAUAAUAAGUAAAAUGUACCAUACAUGAGUAUUGAACCCACCCCACUCAAGAAUACACACACUGCCCUCUCUCCACUAAGCCAUUCAUGGUUAUUUAUUAUUUUGAUGCUACCUUAAAUAUAUAAACCAAAAUAGAU
rnacentral:lncRNA from 1 species